GCCGGUGCUUAUCGGGACGGAGCUAAGAUGGAAGCAGGUGAGAAUCCUGCACGGUCCCGCCACUGUAAUGAAGGAGUUCUGCCCGAUAGUGCCACUGCGAUAGGUAAGGCGAAAGCCCGGCCACGUGGGAAGGCGGGCAGAGCGUUGAUAGCUGAGUCAGGAGACAUGCA
rnacentral:ncRNA from 1 species